rnacentral:misc_RNA from 1 species
CCGGAACAACAUCAAUGUGGAUAAAAGUUUCCAUCGAGGCGACAGACGUCUGGCGUCCUUUUCUUGUUAACAGGCACAGAACACAAACGUUCUGAGUUUAUACGCAUACCAAUGCACCGUUCAAGACACAUAUAAAAGGCGUAUAAAUCGACACAGACAUUCGCAAAGAGAACGAACUUUUCCAGAACUACUGGGGAUAUCGAAAUGUGACAAAGGGAAGAAAGUUGAUCAACAGUGCAGUUGACAUUAUGCUGUCGUCCUUAUAACUCGUGACUCAACAGUUGUGAAGAUGUUUCUGGUCAAGGUUUUGUACGCCUCGGUCAAGUGAAAAACGUUCAGGACAAAUAGAUUGAGGCAGAGUUAACGAAAUGGAGUAUUUUCAUUCCAUACUAAAUUACACACAUUAUGUUGUUGAAAUUGUUUGAAAUAUUGAAUCCAGAAUUGAAAAUAUGUAUCAAGCCCCCAAGAAGUAAAAUGUAAAAAUAUGUAUCUAUUACAUAUAACGCUUUGAAAUUAGAUUAAAAAAUUUUAAACUCGCAUUUAUUAUCUAAGAAUGUAUGAGAAAUUUUUUAUAUAAUGCCACGAAUAUAAACUGCAUCGAUCCAACAUAUUUUUAUCGUGAAUAUUUAUAAUCAUAAAUUCUCG